GUCGAACGCUGGCGGCGUGCCUAAUACAUGCAAGUAGGACGCAGUUGCGAACGGUUGAGUAACGCGUAGGUAACUACCUAUUAGAGGGGGAUAACUAUUGGAAACGAUAGCUAAUACCGCUUACUAGUAGAUGGACCUUCCUUGUAUUAGCUAGUAGGUAGGGUAAUGGCCUACCUAGGCAACGAUACAUAGACGACCAUGGAGGUUGAUAGGCACCACGUGGACGGAGACACGGCCCAGACUCCUAAGGGAGGCAGAAGUAGGGAAACUUCGGCAAGGUGGGGAACCCCGACAGAGCAACGCCGCGAGAGUGAAGAAGGUUUUCGGAUCGGAAAGCUCUGUUGUUAAGGAAGCGGUACUUAACCAGAGAGGGACGGCUAAAUACGUGCCAGCAGCCGCGGUAAUAC
rnacentral:rRNA from 1 species